rnacentral:lncRNA from 1 species
CAAUACCAUUACCAUUCCCAUACUUGCAGCCACUAUCCAAAACCACCACCAUUUCCCAGCAAAAAACACCAGCCAAAUCUAAAUCGAAGUCUAAAUACAAGCAAUACACAGAACAUUGUGGGCACAUUACGAAUUUACUUAGCUUACUCAAGUCUCCUCCACACUAAUCAGAGCUCUCCUUGAUUAUUUCUGGGGUUUAAUAGAAUCAAUUUAUCAUAAAUUUCCCUUACCCUUUUCCUACAAUUUUCAUUCCCAGAAAUGGCCAAGAAAACUAGUUUUCUAGUUCUAGCUUCGGUGAUAUAAGCAUCUAUGCAUCGAUCUGUGAUUCGACAACCAUCUUUAUCCGAUAUCUGACACACAUCGAUCUACGGCAUUAGAGCUCUCUCCCUCCGAUGGAUCUUUUGGAAGUCAAUUUUAAACUCUCCUUAAACCCACUUUGUCUUUAAAUAUACAUAUAAAUCGCAUGUAGGAUUAUAUGUAUAUAAAUCCUCUGUGUAUUUCUUUUUUUUUUUUAUGCUUUUUUGGUCAAUUAUCUAUGGAGCCUAUGCUGAUCUGAAGAAAAAAUCUGUGUUUUAUAUGAUUGUUCACUUUGGUUUUGGGUAGUGGCUGAAAGUAGGGGAAUGGUAGUGGAUUUGGACGGUGCAGUGGGGGUGAAGAAGGAGAUGAAUACUUUUUUUC